rnacentral:snoRNA from 1 species
CCCUAGAUUGAAAUGUUUAUACAGUCAUUAAAAAUGAGGUUGACCUAUUCUGUUAAUUAAACUUUGGGAAACUGAAAUGGGCUAGGAAAGUGGUUGGCUAGAAAAAUACUGUUGUGUUCAUUUAUGUCCUGGCCUACAAAA